rnacentral:rRNA from 1 species
CCUACGGGUGGCAGCAGUGGGGGAUAUUGCACAAUGGGGGAAACCCUGAUGCAGCGACGCCGCGUGUGGGAAGACGGUCCUCUGGAUUGUAAACCACUGUCCCCAGGGACGAAGAUGACGGUACCUGGGGAGGAAGCUCCGGCUAACUACGUGCCAGCAGCCGCGGUAAUACGUAGGGAGCAAGCGUUGUCCGGAAUUACUGGGUGUAAAGGGAGCGUAGGCGGGAUGGCAAGUUGGGUGUUAAAUCUACCGGCUCAACUGGUAGUCGCACUCAAAACUGCUAUUCUUGAGUGAAGUAGAGGCAGGCGGAAUUCCAGGGGUAGCGGUGAAAUGCGUAAAUAUUAGGAGGAACACCAGUGGCGAAGGCGGGCUGCUGGGCUUUUACUGACGCUGAGGCUCGAAAGUGUGGGGAGCAAACAGGAUUAGAUACCCGAGUAGUC